AUUGAACGCUGGCGGCAGGCCUAACACAUGCAAGUCGAACGAGUGGCGGACGGGUGAGUAAUGUCUGGGCAACUGCCCGAUGGAGGGGGAUAACUACUGGAAACGGUAGCUAAUACCGCAUACCCUCGGAUGUGCCCAGAUGGGAUUGGCGAGUAGGGGGGGUAAUGGCUCACCUAGGCGGCGAUCCCUAGCUGGUCUGAGAGGAUGACCAGCCAAACUGGAAUUGAGACACGCUCCAGACUCUUACGGGAGGCACAAGUGGGGAAUAUUGCACAAUGGGCGCAAGCCGGAGGCAGCCAUGCCGCGGGUAUGAAGAAGGCCUUCGGGUUGUAAAGUACUUUCAGCGAGGAGGCGUUACUCGCAGAAGAAGCACCGGCUAACUCCGUGCCAGCCGCCGCGGUAAUAC
rnacentral:rRNA from 1 species